CUUGUCUUUCUCUUUUUCUCUGAGUAUAAAAAUAUAGUCAUCCCCGAUUAAUAAUCAUCCUUUUCCUUUUCUGAACUCAAAAAUUCCUUUUCGAAAUGUCUGGCUACCCCAACCAGCCUCCCAACUACGGCUACGGCUACGGCGCUCCGCCGCCCUCGCAACCCUACGGCGCUCAUCCGCCGCCCCAAUCCUACGGCGCCCCGCCGCCCGGCCAGUCCUACUCCGCCGCCCCCUACUCCCAGCCGUCCGCCCCCUACGCCCAGCCCUCCGGCCCCUACGCCGCCCCCUACAGCAAACCCCCCAAGGAAGACUCCCACUCCCACGGUGGCGGAAGCGGCGGCGGUUACCCGUCACCGGCGCCGUACGCGAGCCCCUUCGCGUCGCUGGUGCCGUCGGCGUUCCCGCCCGGCACGGACCCGAACGUGGUGGCGUGCUUCCAGCUGGCGGAUCAAGACGGAAGCGGCUUCAUCGACGACAAGGAAAUGCAGAGAGCGUUAUCUUCGUAUAACCAAAGCUUCAGCCUCAGAACCGUUCAUCUUCUCAUGUAUCACUUCACCAACACCAACGUCAAGAAGAUAGGACCCAAGGAGUUCACAUCUCUAUUUUACAGUCUUCAGAACUGGAGGUCCAUUUUUGAGAGAUUUGAUAAGGACAGAAGUGGCAAAAUUGAUUCUACUGAGUUGCGAGAUGCUCUGCUGAAUAUGGGUUAUGCUGUUUCUCCUGUGGUAUUGGAUUUGCUCGUCUCCAAGUUUGACAAAACUGGUGGAAAAAGCAAGGCUAUAGAAUAUGACAAUUUCAUCGAGUGUUCUCUUACUGUUAAGGGUCUAACUGACAAAUUCAAGGAGAAGGAUACUGCAUACUCUGGCUCUGCAACCUUUUCCUAUGAAUCGUUUAUGCUGACAGUCCUGCCAUUCCUAAUAGCUUAGGAAAGUAAUGUUGUGUGUGUGGUUGGUUGGCUUUGUAAAUGCCGUGCUCUAUUUGUUUGUUGAUGCUCUUUGGUGCUGUGUGUGUAUGUGAAUGAAGCUGAAGCGUUGAAAAUGCGAUUCCCUGGUACUGCUAAAUGCUAAUGAAUGACUGAAUAACGACUAGGGCAUCUUAUUUGGAAGAUAUAUCUAGGUUAAGAAUACUUGUCAUUGAUAAUUUAUGAAUACUCGCCUUUGUUAAUUUUUUUUCUCCUAAUAUUAACUUUUAAAUUCAUUA